rnacentral:rRNA from 1 species
CUUUACUGUAACUUGAAAUUGAAAUUGGACUUUAGUUGCGCAGGAUAGGUGGGAGGCGUUGAGAAUACUCUUGCGGGAGUAUUGGAGCCAUCAGUGAGAUACCACUCUUCUAAUGUUAGAUUUCUAACUUUGGAUCAUUAUCUGGUCAAAGAACAGUUUCAGGCGGGCAGUUUGACUGGGGCGGUCGCCUCCUAAAGGGUAACGGAGGCGUACAAAGGUUUCCUCUGAACGAGUAGAAAUCGUAUCUAGAGUGUAAAGGCAUAAGGAAGCUUGACUGUGAGACCUACAAGUCGAGCAGGGACGAAAGUCGGUCUUAGUGAUCUGACGGUGCUGAGUGGAAAGGCCGUCACUCAACGGAUAAAAGUUA